rnacentral:tRNA from 4 species
GGAGGGAUGACAGAGUGGCCGAAUGUGCUCGCCUGCUAAGCGAGUAGGGGGUUUAUACCUCCUCGAGGGUUCAAAUCCCUCUCCCUCCGCCA